UGACCCUCAUGGCCCCUUCCAACUCUGCAAUACUAUAAUUCCCCACACCUCUUUUUCUUCAGCACCCUCAAGAUCCUGAUAUUAUUUACAGCACAUUGGAGCUGCCAAUGCCUCUUUGUGCUGAUAGUAGGCUUUUCUGCAGACAUCUGAGGAGCAGUGUGCCCUGCUGUGUGCAGGUGGGGGCCCUGAGAACUCUGCUUUCCUUUAACCAUGGAGAAGCCUGCCCUGGGAUACUCAAAGGUCAGGGCCCUGCAGCUGGAAGCAUCUCUACAUUAAGCAGACUCACUGUUGCCUGUUUGACAGUUGCCUUUGUUCCAUGGAAAAAAGGGAGAGAAGGGAGCGCACACAAAUAACAGGCAACAGGGUGGCUCAUGCCUGCCAUGUGUUGCCCCUCCUUCCUCUCUCCUUCAGUCUCCUUUCAUGGACCCUGUUGCAGGAGGCCUUGUUGACCCCAAAAUGGAGAUGACAGAGGGAGAGGCAGAACACGGCGUUAACUCAACAGAGCAAGGGAAGUUUGGGAAGAAACGCUUCUGCUUAUUAGCUCGAUUACCCUACUGGGCUUUUAUUGUCUGCUCUGCUUGGGGGCUGCUGUGUUUUGGAGGAGGCUUGGCUGGAGAGGCUCUGGAUCUGCUGCAUACAAAACCUUUCAGGAGUCUGCUUUGGGUGGAUACAUUGGCUGACUAUAUAUGCGGGUGAGCUGCUCACCCAACAGUUCAGCCUUAGCGCUGUGAGCCUCGCAAGCAGUGGGGAUGCCCACUCUCAACUCUGUCAGCCAGCAGCAUUGUGCCAGGCUGACCCUCCAUCGUGGAAGCCCAGUGGGCAGGUUUCUCCCCAUGCUACAUCUCCAAGGAGGAAGUGAGUGUAUUUUCUGGCACAUUUCUUUCCCUUGUCUGUGCCACAGUUCUGAACAAUGUGCAAACUCUGUGGGGUCCAGCACCGCCUGAUUUGUGUGGGGUUGCUGUUUGCUUUGCCACUGUGCUGUGGUUCCCUUCUCCCUUUCCUCGUGCUUUUUGCCAUGCAUGAUGCUAGAAGUUUAUAAAAUUAUAUAUAGCAUGGAGAAAGAGGGUAGAGAAAGGACGUCGCUCCUUCUCACUAGUGAACAUCAUAUAAAGCUGAAUGUUGGAAGACACAAAAACAAGUCCUCCUUCACAUGGUCUUUACAUGAAUGUCUUUAAAAGAGUAUUGGACAAAAUCAUGGAGAACUAUCAAUGGCUACUAGCUUUGAUAGCUAUGCCCUGACCCCAUUUUUUGGGGAAGCUAUGCUUCUGGAUACCAGCUGCUGGAAGCCGCAUGAGGGCAGAGUGCUCUUGUGCUUGGAUCUGUUUGCAGGUUUCCACAGGCAUCUGGAUGGCCACUGUGAGAACAGGAUGCUGGAUCCAUAUGUUCUUAUGCAAGCGUAGGACCUGAAUUACCAUUAGAGGCUUUGCACAGAGUGUGCCCCUUCCACCCUGACAAGAAUCUAUGAAGACAGUUUUAAAAAACCCUGAAGGUGAUUAAACCCAUGGCCUCCCCUGCUGAAGGGUCUGUCUAUCUAUCUUUGAGAACUUUCAGGCCAGAUUCACAACCCAUGUGGGACAACAAGGAAGCUGAUCUAAGGAGAUGUAAUGUGGCAAGAAGUUGUCUGCAAUUGUGUGAGUCAGGCUUGAACCCCUCUAUCAGGCAAAACUUUCUGGGUACCAGGGAAAGGUUACAGGACUCCUUAUGUUUAAACCAGACGUGGACUGGGCAGAUGAUGAAAUAGAGGAUGCCUCCAAAUUGAGAACUGCCCUUGGUGAAGUAGGGCACAUGGCUUCUCUCUGACUGGGCCCAUCACGUGGUACGAGGGCGGAGGAUGAGGGCAUCCGGGUGGAGCUGAGCUCAAGCCAAGUUGAAAGGAAGACAGGGAGGACCUCCGACCGGUUCCCCGCUCUCCACUCCUCCCCUGCUCUGCCUCCAAACUCCAAAUGCGUCAGAGGAGGGGUGUGUGUGUCAAACAAUGCUCCUCUCUGCUUUCUUCAGGCCAGCUGUCAAGGAAUUGUUGUCAUUAAUGCUGCUUGGAAAAAUCCUGUUGUUCAAAUAAUAAAAUACAGUGGUACUUCGGUUUAAGAACA